rnacentral:lncRNA from 1 species
UAGUAUUCUAUCAAAUUAAUGUAUAUUCCUUUAAAAUCCAUCAUAAAAAGAAUUGGAUAAAUGCAUUAAAAUCUCAUUAAAUCUUUUAAAAUACUGCAAAAGUUCUUACUUAAGAAUUCUUUCAAAUUCAAUUACAUUCCUUGAUUCAAUACCACCCCCUUAGAAUUUCCUUUUCAUAACUCAAUCAAGCACCAAAUCUUAAAAAAAUAGUGAUAUUUUCUCCACAUAUAUUAUUAUAAACUUUAUUUUCAUAUAUUCACUCCAAUUUCAUUUUUCCCUCAA